CUUGGUCAAUCAGAGGCUUGGCUUGUUAGAGUCUUGGCCUGUUAUAGGCUUCACCUGUUAGUCUUGGCCUGUUAGAGUCUUGACCUGUUAGUCUUGGCCUGUUUAGGCUUGACCUGUUAGAGGCUUGGUAUGUUAUAGGCUUUAUAGGCGUUUUGCCUUUCAUAGCCGUUUAGUUGCUACUACGUACUAUUGUUCUUUAUUUUGAGAUUUUGUCCUUUUUUGUAUUUUGUCGACUGCAAUUUUUGUAAAUAUUCACCUGCGCUAUUUUCACUGGACUGUAAAUAUAUAUUUUUAAAUCUCUGGUUGUUCUCUUGUGCUGAAACCCUCCUAAGUUAGACUGUAGGAUCCUGUGACAUCUUAACACAGAAGCCUAAUGUUUUGUUGAAAUAAAAAUGUAAUGUAGGCUAUUUGGCGUGCGUAGCCUACAUUUAGGCCCUGAAGCUUAGGCUUAUUGUAACGAUGGUCGUACAAAGGGGACCAAGGCGUGACGUGUAAAGUGCUCAUAUUUUACUUUAACGAAAACACUAAAUCAAAAACAACAAAAACGACCGUCAACAGUUCCGUCAGGUUACAAGGAACAAUACAGAAAACAACUACCCACAAAACCCAAAGGAAAAACAGGCUGCCUACGUAUGGUUCCUAAUCAGAGACAACGAUUGACAGCUGCCUCUGGUUAGGAACCAUACUCGGCCCAACACAAAGAAAUACAACACAUAGAAUGCCCACCCCACACCCUGACCUAACCACAUAGAGAAACAAACCCUCUCUCUCAGGUCAGGGCGUGACACUUACGCACUAAUAAAAAAUAUUAAAAGAAAAACCUCAAUGUAUAGACAGGAAUUGCAAAAUAAUUAUACAUUUCUGGAUUCUUUAAUGGAUUGUUUUGUCUUGCUUCAACCCGCCUGCCUGCCCUUCAUCCACACAAAAUUCCAUGACCCUUAACCCGCCCGUGCAUCACUAGAGGGGGAUCCAUGGAAGGUGGUGGAGGGGAGCCAUGGAAGGUGGUGGAGGGGAGCCAUGGAAGGUGGUGGAGGGAGAGCCAUGGAAGGUGGUGGAGGGAGAGCCAUGGAAGGUAGUGGAGGGGAGCCAUGGAAGGUGGUGGAGGGAGAGCCAUGGAAGGUGGUGGAGGGAGAGCCAUAGAAGGAGGUGGAGGGAGAGCCAUGGAAGGUGGUGGAGGGAGAGCCAUGGAAGGUGGUGGAGGGAGAGCCAUGGAAGGUGGUGGAGGGAGAGCCAUGGAAGGUGGUGGAGGGAGAGCCAUGGAAGGUGGUGGAGGGAGAGCCAUGGAAGGUAGUGGAGGGAGAUCCAUGGAAGGAGGUGGAGGGGAGCCAUGGUAGGAAAAGCUAUUUUUAUGUGGAGGAUAUGAGUCGUACAUCAUAGAGUCCAGUCUGUAAUGGAAUUGAUGAGGUGCAGCAACACAGCGGCCCAAAUGGUGACCUGAGCAAUGGGGCCCCUUCCUCUGAAUAAUGUUGGGCCUAGAGUGUGUCUGCAGUAUGAUACGGUGGUGGGAGAGUGGUAGUCUGUCUGGGGGAGAGUGGUAGUCUGUCUGAGGGGGAGUGGCAGUUUGUCUGGGGGAGAGUGGUAGUCUGUCUGGGGGAGAGUGGUAGUCUGUCUGGGGAAGAGUGGCAGUCUGUCUGAGGGAGAGUGGCAGUCUGUCUGGGGGAGAGUGGUAGUCUGUCUGGGGGAGAGUAGUCUAUCUGGGGGAGAGUGGCAGUAUGUCUGGGGGAGAGUGGCAGUCUGUCUGGGGGAGAGUGGCAGUCUGUCUGGGGGAGAGUGGUAGUCUGUCUGGGGGAGAGUGGUAGUCUGUCUGUCUGAGGAUGUUUGCAUGUGAUGAUGAUCCUCAUAAUAUUGAGAAGAAUAACAGAGAGGGAAAGACAGGGAGAGAGAGAGAGCGAGAGAGAAUGAGAACCUGGUGUUUUAAGGUGAUGACAAUCCCCAUCCAUUGUCCUGUCGAGGGGCCGACCAUCAGAGCCUUGUGCAGUCCAUGGUGACUGUACCUGCCGCUGGUGAUGGGUCAGGGCCCGAGGGGUCAGAGGUCAGGUGCCAUUGUAGUAAACCCCCAUUCGCUAGGCAGCCAUUGCAACAGCACACAGCGUGUCAGCUUUCAGGCAGCGACCUUGGUUACCGUUGGGUACAGAUCGAGGCCUCUAAGUAGUGAGAGAGAGAAGUGAGAAGAGAGACAGAGACAGAGAGAAGAGAGAGAGCAUGCGAGACAGAGAGCGAGAGAAUGAGAGAGGGCGAGAGAGAGAGAGAGAGAGAGGCAGAGAGAGAGAGAGAAAGAGAGAGAGAGCGAGAGAGAGAGAGAGAAAGAUACCAGACCCCAAAUCAGAGAAAAUCAAAGCAGCAGUCCAUCAAUACCGACAUAAUACUGUCUGCUCAUCAAACACAGUACAGUAGCUUACCAUUGCUAGGCUACAUCUGUAGUGUACUACUGAUCACGGACAAAACCAUUGUCAGCCAACAGGUCAACAACAGAGUCACAUUUGAUUUCUGGGUUGAAUUGUUUUGUGUUAGUUUAGAGUUUUUCUGGUAUUUUGCAGUGGACCUUGAUAUUUCUCCUAGAAAAGUAUUUUCCUGAUGAAGGGAAAAUGUUGCAGUUAACCAGAAUUCAUUAUCUAGUCUCUCAAGUGGGAGACUACUCCCCAUUGAAUUGCCCUUCAAAUUCCAAUAGGUUUUUAGAGCACUUGUACGUGCAGAAUCUUAAAAGGACCAUUCCAAAUGCCAAUUAGAUAAAUUCAGUGUAUAGGUCUUUAAUAAUUAAUAGUUUCUACAAAAAAAAAUCACAAGGCUGGUGUUUGAUGGAAUAAGCCCUCUAAUACCCACAUUUCUUAAAAUGGUCAUGACCAGGGUAUUUGUAAACCAUCUGAGAGUAGGAGUGCCGAUCUAGGUUCAGGUCCACCCUUUACAAUCUAAUGACAUGUUCUAAAGUGCAGAAUUGAUACUAGAAAAGCACUCCUAUUCUGAGACAAUUUCUGAAUAUGGGCCCAUGAGGGCUCACCUGACACUUUCUACUACUAAGGAGCAAUAUUCUACCUCUAAAUGCACUAAAACUAAACAACUGUGGAAACGUUGAACUUGCUUUUUCACCUGUAUGACCCCCGUCCAAUCCAAUAUACCCCAUCCCACCUGCUAUCACCAUGUUAUACCCCAUCCCACCUACUAUCCCCAUGUUAUACCCCAUCCCACCUGCUAUCCCCAUGUUAUACCCCAUCCCACCUGCUAUCCCCAUGUUAUACCCCAUCCCACCUGCUAUCCCCAUGUUAUACCCCAUCCCACCUGCUAUCACCAUGUUAUACCCCAUCCCACCUACUACCACCAUGUUAUACCCCAUUCCACCUGCUAUCACCAUGUUAUACCCCAUCC
rnacentral:lncRNA from 1 species